UUUUUACAUAAAUUUAGGUAGUACUUCAUAACGAAACCACUAUAUAAUGGCGGUUCUAACAAUUUAGAGAAACUCGCUUUAUAAUCGAUAAUUCCCGAUAAAUUUAACUUAUAACAAAAAUUUAUAUACCGCCGUUUUAGAUUUAAUUUUAUAUUAAAAUCUUGUUAUACUUAACCAUCAUAAAUCAGGUCAAGGUGUAAUUAAUUAAUAAGUAAAAGUAAGUUACAUUAAAAGUAAUUUAAGGACUAAAGGUAAAAACAAAAAAUAAAAAAGAAUUUAAAUGUAAACAUUAAUUAAAAAUUAAAUUAGAACUAACUAACUAGAACGC
rnacentral:rRNA from 1 species